CCAAUAGCGUAUAUUAAAGUUGCUGCAGUUAAAGAGCUCGUAGUUGAAUUUCGGGAUCAAUUUGUCGGUCGUGCCUCGGUACGUACUGGCUUAUUGGUUUCUCCCUUCUGACGAACCAUGAUGUCAUUUAUUUGGUGUUGUGGGAAAUCAGGACUGUUACUUUGAAAAAAUUAGAGUGUUUAAAGCAGGCUCACGCUUGAAUACAUUAGCAUGGAAUAAUGAAAUAGGACGUUUGAUUCUAUUUUGUUGGUUUCUAGGAUCGACGUAAUGAUUAAUAGGGAUAGUUGGGGGCAUUAGUAUUCAAUUGUCAGAGGUGAAAUUCUUGGAUUUAUUGAAGACUAACUACUGCGAAAGCAUUUGCCAAGGAUGUUUUCAUUAAUCAAGAACGAAAGUUAGGGGAUCGAAGACGAUCAGAUACCGUCGUAGUCUUAACCAUAAACUAUGCCGACUAGGGAUCGGAUGAUGUUAAUUUUUUAAUGACUCAUUCGGCGCCUUACG
rnacentral:rRNA from 1 species